CUCUGUUCCAGCACCACUUUGUGGGUGUUACUCUUAAUGUAGCACCCACCUCCAGCCUGUCUUCCACUCCUCCUCGGUGCCCAUGGUGUCUUCUUUGAAUUGCUAUUGAUAAAAACUAACCAGGAAAGGUUAAACGAUUUUAACAUGUAUAGCUUGGAGUAAAGACUAAACGGAGGAUAUGAUUUAAAUACAGAAAGGGAAUCAACACAGUAAAGGAGGUGACUAUUUUAAAUAAGGAAAACUACCACAACAAAUGGACAUGGCCUUAAAUUAGAGGGGCAACAGUUUAAAAAAAUAUAUAUAAUAAAUAUCAGAAAU